rnacentral:rRNA from 1 species
CGGGUGAGUAAUGCUUGGGAAUCUAGCUUAUGGAGGGGGAUAACUACGGGAAACUGUAGCUAAUACCGCGUAAUAUCGAAAGAUUAAAGUGUGGGACCUUCGGGCCACAUGCCACAGGAUGAGCCCAAGUGGGAUUAGGUAGUUGGUGAGGUAAAGGCUCACCAAGCCGACGAUCUCUAGCUGGUCUGAGAGGAUGACCAGCCACACUGGGACUGAGACACGGCCCAG